UUUUAUUCAACGGCCGCGGUAUUCUGACCGUGCAAAGGUAGCAUAAUCACUUGUCUUUUAAAUAAAGACUAGUAUGAACGGCAUCACGAAAGCCUAACUGUCUCCUUUAUUUAGUCAAUGAAACUGAUCUUCACGUACAAAAGCGUGAAUACUAAAAUAAGACGAGAAGACCCUAUGGAACUUAAAACACGCAACCACUUUAAUCUAAUACAACAAACAAUAUAUCUGGAUUACGCUGUUUUUGGUUGGGGCGACCACGGAGUAUAACAUAACCUCCGAGAACAUCUACCAAGAUUAACCAAACAAAGUACCAAAACUUUGGAUAUCAUAGACCCAAUAAACUUGAUCAUCGAACCAAGCUACCCUAGGGAUAACAGCGCAAUCUUCUUUAAGAGCCCUUAUCACCAAGAAGGUUUACGACCUCGAUGUUGGAUCAGGAUACCCAGACAGU
rnacentral:rRNA from 1 species